rnacentral:rRNA from 1 species
GACGAACGCUGGCGGCGUGCUUAACACAUGCAAGUCGAACGGAAAGGCCCUGCUUUUGUGGGGUGCUCGAGUGGCGAACGGGUGAGUAACACGUGAGUAACCUGCCCUUGACUUUGGGAUAACUUCAGGAAACUUGGGCUAAUACCGGAUAGGAGCUCCUGCUGCAUGGUGGGGGUUGGAAAGUUUCGGCGGUUGGGGAUGGACUCGCGGCUUAUCAGCUUGUUGGUGGGGUAGUGGCUUACCAAGGCUUUGACGGGUAGCCGGCCUGCGAGGGUGACCGGCCACAUUGGGACUGAGAUACGGCCCAGACUCCUACGGGAGGCAGCAGUGGGGAAUAUUGCACAAUGGGCGGAAGCCUGAUGCAGCAACGCCGCGUGCGGGAUGACGGCCUUCGGGUUGUAAACCGCUUUCGCCUGUGACGAAGCGUGAGUGACGGUAAUGGGUAAAGAAGCACCGGCUAACUACGUG